rnacentral:rRNA from 1 species
AGUGGCGAACGGGUGAGUAACACGUGAGUAACCUGCCCUUAACUCUGGGAUAAGCCUGGGAAACUGGGUCUAAUACCGGAUAUGACUCCUCAUCGCAUGGUGGGGGGUGGAAAGCUUUAUUGUGGUUUUGGAUGGACUCGCGGCCUAUCAGCUUGUUGGUGAGGUAAUGGCUCACCAAGGCGACGACGGGUAGCCGGCCUGAGAGGGUGACCGGCCACACUGGGACUGAGACACGGCCCAGACUCCUACGGGAGGCAGCAGUGGGGAAUAUUGCACAAUGGGCGCAAGCCUGAUGCAGCGACGCCGCGUGGGGGAUGACGGCCUUCGGGUUGUAAACCUCUUUCAGCACAGACGAAGCGCAAGUGACGGUAUGUGCAGAAGAAGCACCGGCCAACUACGUGCCAGCAGCCGCGGUAAUACGUAGGGUGCGAGCGUUGUCCGGAAUUACUGGGCGUAAAGAGCUUGUAGGUGGUUUGUCGCGUUGUUCGUGAAAUCUCACGGCUUAACUGUGAGCGUGCGGGCGAUACGGGCAGACUAGAGUACUGCAGGGGAGACUGGAAUUCCUGGUGUAGCGGUGGAAUGCGCAGAUAUCAGGAGGAACACCGGUGGCGAAGGCGGGUCUCUGGGCAGUAACUGACGCUGAGAAGCGAAAGCGUGGGGAGCGAACAGGAUUAGAUACCCUGGUAGUCCACGCCGUAAACGGUGGGUACUAGGUGUGGGUUUCCUUCCUUGGGAUCCGUGCCGUAGCUAACGCAUUAAGUACCCCGCCUGGGGA